UCAAUGAAAGCAACCUGGUCUCAUGGGAAAUACGUACCUCUGUACACUUUUUUGCAGGACCACAAAUAUGUACUAACAGGUACGUAUUGCUACAGUUUUGAAAAAUAAACGUCCACUGGGGUCGCUAAAGAGAAGAACUCCAUGUGACAUAAUUAGGAGUUGCAUUACAUUACAUCGCGAGAUUUAACAACGCAUGUUGAUUGACUGGAGAUGGAUUGUGGACCAAGAGAUCAUGCAUGUCACUAAUCAAAUCAAACAACCAAUCACAGAUGCAGAGACAUCAGUCAAUGUCCCGCCCCCAAAGUCGCAAAAGUAAUCGCGAGCGAGCGCGUGUGGUGCAGCUGUGAGACCAUAGAGAGAGUCGAGCAAGUGCUCAUCCAAACCCUUGCUCACGUGACUGCAUUUGUGCGCACUGAGCGGAGGGGCGCUCUCGCGAGGAUGCUUUUUCCGCGUGCGAAUAGUUUUCUGCGCCAUGUAUCUCUCCCUCGCGGGUGGUUUUUGUGCGCGCGACUUUUGGGUCUGAUUAAACGCCACAGAAAGGUUUUAAGGAUUUAAGCAAUUUUGAGUGUGGUAUGGACUGAUUCAACCUGACAGAAGAGCAACUGUGACUGAAAUAACCACUCGUUACAACCGAGGUAUGCCGCAAAGCAUUUGUGAAGCCACAACAUGCACAACCUCGAGGUGGAUGGGCUACAACAGCAGUAGACCCCACCGGAUGGAAAAGAGAGAAGACAAACUUCACCGAAAGAUUUUGGAGGAAAAGGCCAAAUUCGUUGUGACUAUAGAUGAGUACAACAGGGCAGCACCUGAAAAACUGCUGUCAGCUGAUACAAUUCUGGCAUCUGGGAGUUACGCAUGGCCAUGGGACGGUCGUCACCAAUCCUGGUCAUGGGGGGUCUCUGCAGAUUUUAAAUGAAACCUCUGCUAAUUAGCCAUGACUGCUGCUUCCUACUGUUACAGACCAGGACUGUGGGCUCUCUGACAGUGGAGUUCUAGGACUUCACUUCCUGCUAAAGAAAAGACAAUACUACAUCAUCUCCUCUGUUUGCCAGUUGUACUGUACUGUGCUUGACAACUUUUCUGAGCUGUUUGGGAACAUAAAAGAUGAUGAUUACUUUAGGGAAAUUCACAUGGAUGAGGAGGAUAUCCACUAUUGUGGUGGUGGUGGUGAUGAUGAUGAUGAUGAUGAGGAUGAGUAUGAAAAGUCAUUGUUUCCUCAGUCAGUAUAAAGUGUACACUCAAGUCAGAUUUUAAAGACAAGGUCAAGGUUAAACCAGGAUUAUGCCUUAGCUAAAAUUGGACAUUUACACUACUUUUAAAAAUGUGACUUACAAAUAAACUUACUGAUGUGCAUCUUGAGACAAAAUUAUGGCACUGAUAUAUUUAAAGAUAUGUCAGUAAAAGUUGUUUUUUUUGUUAAGACAGCUCAAAUAUACAUUUUAGUUUGGGACUAGGCUUAGGCCUUGUGAUCGAUUGAAGUUGCAAUUCACUAGUGUAGUGGAUGAAAACUUGUUUAGAAUGAUAAAGUUGUCUCCCAAUAGUUAAAUAGUUCAUCUUAUUUCCCCACGUCCCAAGUUACCUUAUGUCAUCUAUGUGAUUAUAUCUGUAUUUUAUCUUGUGUAUAUUACUGAAACUGCCAGUUGACCUUUUUUCCUUUAAUAUUAAGCAUCACAUAUAUAGACUCCACCACAUAAAUAUAGACUGUCUUUUUUAGUUUCAGUUAAUUAAACAAGACUGUAUGCUGUGAUGUUUAUCUUAGUAAUGUUUUACAUUGUUUACAUUUACAUUACAAAGGUGUUGUGAAAAUAUGUAAUUUUAUAUUGUUUGUCCAAUCAUUUUUAUAUUAGAUAUUGUAAUACGUUGCUGAUAUUAUUAGUGUUAUUAUUACUGAUGUAACAUUUAUGACUUUUUGGACAGUGUUGUAAAAUGCCUUCAUUGUUAUUCAUAAAGUGACAAAUAAAAUUGACCAAAUUCACGUGAAAACAACUUCCUGUUUUUUAUCAUAAAUUGUACUAUUAUGAUAUGUAUAUUUAAUGUUACAAACUUCAUUGCUCUAGAAUAAAAAUCUGUAAUUAAAGUA